GUGAGGAAUUUUCCGCAAUGGGCGAAAGCCUGACGGAGCAAUGCCGCGUGAAGGAUGAAGGCCUAUGGGUUGUAAACUUCUUUUCUCAGAAAAGAAUUAUGACGGUAUCUGAGGAAUAAGCAUCGGCUAACUCUGUGCCAGCAGCCGCGGUAAGACAGAGGAUGCAAGCGUUAUCCGGAAUGAUUGGGCGUAAAGCGUCUGUAGGUUGUUUAAAAAGUAUUCUGUCAAAGAUUAGGGCUUAACCCUAGAUAGGCAGAAUAAACUUUUAAGCUAGAGUUUGGUAGAGGCAGAGGGAAUUCCCGGUGGAGCGGUGAAAUGCGUAGAUAUCGGGAGGAACACCAAAGGCGAAGGCACUCUGCUGGGCCAAUACUAACACUGAGAGACGAAAGCGAGGGGAGCAAAUGGGAUUAGAUACCCGAAGUCC
rnacentral:rRNA from 1 species